rnacentral:misc_RNA from 1 species
UCGUAACAAGGUUUCCGUAGGUGAACCUGCGGAAGGAUCAUUACCGAGUGCGGGCCCUCUGGGUCCAACCUCCCAUCCGUGUCUAUCUGUACCCUGUUGCUUCGGCGUGGCCACGGCCCGCCGAAGACUAACAUUUGAACACUGUCUGAAGUUUGCAGUCUGAGUUUUUAGUUAAACAAUAAUUAAAACUUUCAACAACGGAUCUCUUGGUUCCGGCAUCGAUGAAGAACGCAGCGAAAUGCGAUAAUUAAUGUGAAUUGCAGAAUUCAGUGAAUCAUCGAGUCUUUGAACGCACAUUGCGCCCCCUGGUAUUCCGGGGGGCAUGCCUGUCCGAGCGUCAUUGCUGCCCUCAAGCACGGCUUGUGUGUUGGGCUUCCGUCCCUGGUAACGGGGACGGGCCCAAAAGGCAGUGGCGGCACCAUGUCUGGUCCUCGAGCGUAUGGGGCUUUGUCACCCGCUCCCGUAGGUCCAGCUGGCAGCUAGCCUCGCAACCAAUCUUUUUAACCAGGUUGACCUCGGAUCAGGUAGGGAUACCCGCUGAACCUAAGC